rnacentral:rRNA from 1 species
UAGGGAAUCUUCGGCAAUGGGGGGAACCCUGACCGAGCAACGCCGCGUGAGUGAAGAAGGUUUUCGGAUCGUAAAGCUCUGUUGUUAAGGAAGAACGAGUGUGAGAAUGGAAAGUUCAUACUGUGACGGUACUUAACCAGAAAGGGACGGCUAACUACGUGCCAGCAGCCGCGGUAAUACGUAGGUCCCGAGCGUUGUCCGGAUUUAUUGGGCGUAAAGCGAGCGCAGGCGGUUCGAUAAGUCUGAAGUUAAAGGCAGUGGCUCAACCAUUGUAGGCUUUGGAAACUGUUUAACUUGAGUGCAGAAGGGGAGAGUGGAAUUCCAUGUGUAGCGGUGAAAUGCGUAGAUAUAUGGAGGAACACCGGUGGCGAAAGCGGCUCUCUGGUCUGUAACUGACGCUGAGGCUCGAAAGCGUGGGGAGCGAACAGG